rnacentral:rRNA from 3 species
CUGACCUCGGAUCAGGUAG